GGAUGGCUAAUAAUCUUUGUGGCUUGUUGUUUUUCUAUUGGGACUUAACCCUAGUCGAGCCUACUUACCAUAUUGUGACUUACCUUAAGUUGGCCAUUGAACUAAUAUAUAUAUAUAUAUAUAUAUAUUGGUAGUUAACUCCUUCUCCUUUGUCCCGUUUGAAAGAACCCGAGAGAGAAAGAGAACUGCUGCCUUCUUCUUCGUGAUUAAUCUUCCCUGCCAAUUGCUUGAGGCUUUGUGACUCUUACCUGUGUGGUAUCCAUCCUAAGUGUGUGGUAGAAUCAACAAGCAAAAGAGCAAUAGCAACCAUAGGAAGAAGUUGGCGCCGAUGGUCGGUCAUCUCGAUUUUUGGUGUUGAAUUCGAUGUUUAAUGGUUAACUGAGCCCGAAAAUCACUUUGAGCAGCUUGAGGAAGAUCCUAACAGUUACCAAACCCUCACCAAUUCUAAGCUCCCUCUCUCUAUCACAUAUGCCAGCUCUACUAUUAUUAUUGUUUGACGCCCAGUCGCCCACAGUCGACAAAUAUAGAAGUACUGACAGCGCCAUCAGAAUAUUCUUGAGCUCGAUUUUGCUGAAUAACUGAGUAUAGUCUUCAAGGUCCUCUUCAUAAAAAAACUCGUGGACUUAGUCGCGGACUGGCUUAACAUAAAUUUGGGCUCUAGUGGUUUGACAUCGUCACAGGGUGGGAUGCGGGUCUAUAUUUGCGAUCAUGACACAUCACCUCCAGGAGUCAAGAAGAAGGCAAGGCGAUUCUGACAAAAUUCAAGAAACAAUUACAAUGAAAGCCCAAUUGUGUUGCCAUUAAAUUUGUGAAUCUACUGCCAAUUAUACGUGGGUCAACUAUCCGUCGUCUAGAGCAUAUGGUAUGAUAUUAAUGUUUAGAAAUUACUCAUAUAAAAGGUUUGUUCGAUUUUCAUGUAUUUUAUACAAACUAAAAAUCAUGAAAAUUUACAAAUACGUAUUCGUAUAUCUGUCUACUACAAAUAUGUUGUUGCUCCUGAAGUAGCACAACAUUGACAUAUUGGUCAUGAAGAAUAUCUUGUUAUUCUUGAAGAAUCCAAAAUUCAUGGGUAUUAAAUUUCAUAUGAUGUUAAUAUUCGAGUAGAAUAUUACUCUGUCUCGAAGAGCGGAUUCUAUGAAAUUCAGUUG